UCUUCUCCCCCGAUCCUUCCGCAUGCUCUCCAGAGACGGAGGCGGCGCCUUCGGCGAUGCUCCCGCAUCCGGCGGAGGUUGCGCUCGCCGGAGCAACGUGUGUGGGUCGACGCCCCACGCGCUCCUCCGUCUAGCGUGGACUCCGGAACCCGUAUUCCCUCGGGUGGAGAGCGGUGGCGACCGGCCGGCCUUCCACACGCCGGCGAGGGCGGUGGCUUUCCCACGCGCUGGAGCGACGUGGUGGCGGCGCCCUCACAGGCUGGGAUGGCCGUGCGGUUCCUUCCCGAGGGAAGGAUAGACGCCCCCAUGGCCCAUUCAUGGCGGCCGGCGGUUGAACAUGAGGCGACGACGGCGAGGAGCAAUCCAAGAUCCCACGCCGCCGUCCAUUAGGAUCAUUCAGCUUCCAGUAGUCCCAUGCCGGCAACAUGAUCAAGAAAAAUACUGGGUGGUAAGCCCUUGGUUAGCGGAUCCGCAAGCAUAUGAGUAGUGCUGGUAUGCCUGACAUCAAUGGUUUGAUCCUGGAUUCUAUCUUUCACAACAUGAUACUUUAUGUCAAUGUGCUUGGCAGCGGCACUUGACUUGUUGUUACUCGUAUAGAAAACUGCGGGUUCAUUAUCGCAGUACAACACCAGUGGUUUACAAAUGUUGUCUACCACUUUAAGUCCGGGAAUAAAAUUCUUUAGCCAUACAGCCUGCCCAGUGGCCUCAUAACAUGCUACAAAUUCUGCUUGCAUCGUAGAUGAAGCAGUCAAAAUUUGCUUGGAGCUUUUCCCCGAUCAGGGUGCGUUUCGUUGAGAUAAGGCCACGAACCUUGGUUCGUGGGCCCCACCCUUAUCCUAAUCCCUUCUGACUCGGUCUAAGCCAAGAUCAACCAGCAGUUUGUGCAUUCCCUUCUCCCUCUUUUUGUUUUGCCCUUACUAUUUUCUGUUCAUCAAAUGACUUUCUAUUCGAUUUUUUGUAAAGUAGAAGGUAACAAAUGUUGCAGAUUGAACAUUAUCUUAGUGUUAGGCAUCCUGUUGCAUAUCUCUUAAAUAAGUAUCCCAUCUACUGAAUGAUCUAUCUGCGGUCCGUCCUGGCAUUCAUUUGCUUGUCUCCUUUUGUGAUGAUGCAGCGGAUUGAGGAAUCAACGGAUGAUUUUUUUUUCUGUAUUACAUUUAGUUGCUCUUUGCAUGAUUCUUUUUUUUACCGGCUUUGCAUGAUUCUUUUGGCAUGGAUGUUGACUGGGAGAUGAAAAAUAUACUUCGUCCAGAUUGAAAAGACAAACAUGGUUCUCCUACUGUGCUCUGUUUUGUGCCAGCGUUGGGGACGACAAACAGGGUUCUCCUACUGAUUGACACCAUGUAAGCACUUAUCUAAUAUUUUCAUCAUGUUUUUUGCUUUUGUAUUCCGAAAUUUAUAUGCCCUCAUUUUCAGAGCACUCCAGCUAAAAGCACCUGCUGAGUAAGGACAAGGACUUAAACAAAUACAUAUAUGUUGCAUUUGCUCAAUUGACGAGUAGAAAGGUACCCGGUCCAAGCCAAAGAUAGUGCAUUUAAGGAGCCCUUGGUUAAUCGGUUCUUAUCCCACUAGAGAGACACUAUCUUGCUUCUCUAACUCUUUUUGCGAUUAAAUUAUAUGCAAGGGUUGCAUAGCCCAUAUUUCCAUAUUGUCGUAAUAACACCGAUAUACUGAUAACUAAACCCACUAGAGAGAAAUGUUUAUUAUAAAUGUUUUAAGUUUAAUUCGCUAAACAAUCUGAAAAUUAUGUACAAUCUGUAUAAGUUGAGAUAUAUUAGAAUAGUAUGAUGAGCUAUCAUAACGAUCCAUCUUAAUUAGGACCAAGACUUUACCUGGUUACCUAGGUUACCUGUAGUCAAAAUUGUUUAAGGCAAAUUGUAUCAAGGUUUGAUGGUUAGAUGGACACUCCAAUUGUUUCUGUUCAUAGAUCUAUCAUCUACAAAUACUUCUUGUGUUGCAGGUUCUGCCAUUGGUAGUGAUGGAAACAUUAUAAGAGCUAUGGCAAUCUUCGUAGAGUUCAAAUGUUGUGGUUUGAUACAGAACAGAAAACGGAAGUCUCUUUUCCUCUCAAGAUGAGAGUAAGUAUCGGCCAAAAAAAAAAUCUUCGCAGCGAUGCAAUUUUUCUUAUCACUCAGUCAUGAUGCAUAUAAGAGUAAGGGGAAUGGGCUGAUUUUGUGUAUAUUCUACAUUUUACUUUUCAGUAGUAAUUAGAUGAUUUAUGAUUUUCUUACAUCUCUUAAGGGAAGAUGUUGAGGGAGACCAUAAGGACACAACACAUUAUGUUGUGAAGAUAAUAUUGCUUUCAUGCUCUUAACACAGGACACUAGAGCAUGCAUUACAAAAUGGAUAUUCAAUGAGGCAUGGACGGCUGUCUUGAUGUGUUUAAUUUUGCAUUCUUUCCAAUAAUUUUGUUGGAGAACACGAGUGUCUUGACUUGUUUUGAUACUCCAACAUGGAUGCUUUGUGAUAUUUACAAUUGUGAGAAGAGGGUCCACGGCCAAGUUCUUCGAUAAUCGUUCAUGUGGAAUUUUGGAUUGUUUAUUGGUCCAUUGUAUUUUUUUUCUCUCAUAUUGUCACAAUUAUUGAUUAUAUGACUUGAACUAUGUACAUGUUCGUGAGCAGUGAUGUCUCCUUAUCCGAUGAC